AGUGAACGCUGGCGGCAGGCCUAACACAUGCAAGUCGAGCGGCAGCGCGGGGGCAACCCUGGCGGCGAGCGGCGGACGGGUGAGGAAUUCGUCGGAAUCUGCCUUUUUGUGGGGGAUAACGUAGGGAAACUUACGCUAAUACCGCAUACGUCCUACAGGAGAAAGUGGGGGACCGCAAGGCCUCACGCAGAAAGAUGAGCCGACGACCGAUUAGCUAGUUGGUGGGGUAAAGGCCCACCAAGGCGACGAUCGGUAGCUGGUCUGAGAGGAUGAUCAGCCACACUGGGACUGAGACACGGCCCAGACUCCUACGGGAGGCAGCAGUGGGGAAUAUUGGACAAUGGGCGCAAGCCUGAUCCAGCCAUGCCGCGUGUGUGAAGAAGGCCUUCGGGUUGUAAAGCACUUUUGUCCGGAAAGAAAUCCCUGGAGCUAAUACCUUCGGGGGAUGACGGUACCGGAAGAAUAAGCACCGGCUAACUUCGUG
rnacentral:rRNA from 1 species